AUGAUCGGACACACACAACGCGCAGAGCGUGGCCGUGGCCCUACACAAAACGCGCCUGAAAUUCCGUACCGACAGAAACCCGCGAGGCGCCCUGAGAAACCCCUGCGGGAGAGGCAGGGACCCUCCAGCCGGCCACGGCAGCUGCCGGGGGCUCGGCUCGCCGCGGGGAGGCCUGCGGAGGGGAGGAGGCCAUGUGGCAGGCAGGCAGGCGGCCGCUGGCUAGGGCUGAGGGGGAGGAGGCCCGGCGUUCAUUCAAACCGCCGAGCAGGCCCCGCAGCGGGGAGGCGGCCCCGCGCCGUGCCCGGCCGCACGUCGGCCUGCGGAGAAGCCGGGCCCGGCCUCGCGGCCCCACCGCCCGGCCCUGCCCGCCGACCCCCCCACACCGCGGUCCGCCCCCAGCCUCCCCCCGGCGGCCGCCAUCCCCUGAGCCCCCUCACGGGAGGCGCCGGGGCCCCUCACACGCCGACCGCCGCGGCCGCCCCGCGCCCGGCCCCGCACGGUCCCCGCGGUGUGCCGGGGAGGGGCCGAGGCUCCGCUCUCCCCGUGACGGGGCCCCUCGGCGCUGCGACCUCCGUCCCCCGAGCCCCCGCCGCCCGCCAGCCCAGGCCUGGGGCCGCGGCCCUCGCCCUCGCCCCGGCCACAUGGCGGCCUCGGCGCCCGCACUCACCCCGCUCGCGGCCCGCGUCGCCCCGCGCCGCUCAGCGCCUGGCCGCCAUGUUAGAGCUGGUGCGGCACGGACUGCGUCAGCGCGAGGCAGCGGCGGGAGGGAGGGAGGGAGAGGAGGGGAGAGGAGAAGGGCGGGAGGGGGCGACCCCGGGGGCGGUGCGGCGGGAGCGGCGGCGCCCCGGGCCGGUAGGGGCGCGGGCUGUGUGUGGGGGGGCCCCGGGCACGGCUCGGCUCGGGGAGGCGGCGAGGGCCGCUCGCGAGGAGCCGAAGCGGUUGGGGGAAGGGGGGUGCCCGCCCCCUCCAGCUCGUCAGCGCCGCUCCGCCCCGCCGCCCGCUCCCGCCACCCCUGCUGCCCGCCGCCCCCAGCGGGGCCGGGAGGGUGCCCGUGUGGCGGGGGUCGGCCCUCCCCCUGCCGGCACAGCUGGGCUCGGCCGCCUGAAGCGCCCCGGACUGCUGCUGGGCUUCACCCCCUCCCCAGCCACGUCUCGGCGUCCGGAGGGACCGGGACAUAGGUAA
rnacentral:lncRNA from 1 species